AAUGGCGGUUGGGGCGGAAGGCGGGGGCUGGGCGGGGAGAGGCGCGGUCUCGAGGUGCCCCCCGCGCCCCGCCGCAGCCCGGGUGCGGCGUCGCUUCCCGAGCCCUCCCCUCCCGCGGUGCCGGCCGGCAGGGCGGGGGGAGCCCCUCUGGGAGAAGGGGUGGCCCGUUCGAUGAACAAAGGAGAGAUGGCCCGGGCCAGCGCAGCCACUGCAGAGCAGCAGAAACGUUCCCUAAGAUGGCGGCCGGCGCGGGGGGGCGGGGCGUCCGCUCGCGAAGGCCCUCAGCAGGGAGGGGCGGGGCUUCCGCUGGCGCGGCCCUCGGCGGGGCGGGGCUUCCGCUCGUGAAGGCCCUGGGCGGGGCGGCGGUGCAGGCGCCGACUGGUCCCCAUGGCCGCCACGCCGGAGCCCAAGGAGCCGGGGCAGGAGAAGCCCUUUAAGCUCCUAGGAAUUUUAGAUGUCGAGAACAUUCCCUGUGCACGGGACUCAGUAUUAUAUGGUUCAUUAGGAUCUGUUGUGGCUGGCCUUGGACAUUUUUUGUUAACUAAAUUAGAAGAUCAUGCGAUGUUGGAGUAGGAGGAUUUAUUGUCGUGACUUUAGGAUAUUGCAUAUCUGAUGUUAUGAAGAACUGAUAUAGCAUGGAUGACUAUCAACUCUGUUUUCAUCAGCAAAAAAAGCCAGACCCAAAGUACUGGUUCCAUUUGAUGAGGUUCUACAAGUAAAAUUAAGCUAAGGCUCCAUUGUAGGUAUAAUUAUGCAAAGCUAAGAAUCCAGGAAAGAAUCACCAGAGAAGG